rnacentral:rRNA from 1 species
UACGUAGGGUGCGAGCGUUGUCCGGAAUUACUGGGCGUAAAGCGUGCGCAGGCGGUUCGUUGUGUCGGUGGUGAAAUCCCCGGGCUUAACCUGGGAAUGGCCAUGGAAACUGGCGAACUGGAGUGCGGCAGAGGGGGGUGGAAUUCCGCGUGUAGCAGUGAAAUGCGUAGAGAUGCGGGGGAACACCGAUGGCGAAGGCAGCCCCCUGGGCUAGCACUGACGCUCAGGCACGAAAGCGUGGGGAGCAAACAGG